rnacentral:rRNA from 1 species
ACGAACGCUGGCGGCGUGCUUAACACAUGCAAGUCGAGCGGUAAGGCUCCUUCGGGAGUACACGAGCGGCGAACGGGUGAGUAACACGUGAGCAAUCUGCCCUUCACUUCGGGAUAACUCCGGGAAACCGGUGCUAAUACCGAAUACGACCACUUCAGGCAUCUGAUGGUGGUGGAAAGUUCCGGCGGUGAAGGAUGAGCUCGCGGCCUAUCAGCUUGUUGGUGAGGUAAUGGCCCACCAAGGCAACGACGGGUAGCCGGCUUGAGAGGGUGACCGGCCACACUGGGACUGAGACACGGCCCAGACUCCUACGGGAGGCAGCAGUGGGGAAUAUUGGACAAUGGGCGAAAGCCUGAUCCAGCCACGCCGCGUGCGGGAUGACGGCCUUCGGGUUGUAAACCUCUUUCAGCGGGGACGAAGCGCAAGUGACGGUACCCGCAGAAGAAGCACCGGCCCACUACGU